AUAUCGAUGCAAAAAGCGCCCCAGAAUUACGCAUUUAUUUGAGAGAAAGGGGGAUCAGUUGUAAUGAAUAUAGAAAGUUCACGUUAGUCAGGUUGGCUCAAGUCGCACUAGAACUUCAGUUACCGAUCAUCGCGCGAAAGACGACUACAAAGUUAUAAACUUGAAACGGCGCACCACACGAAGUCUUGAUGGAGAAGAAAUUGUCGCCCCAGAUGUUACGACUAUUAUAAGUCGCUUUACAAAGAAUCUUAAAGAACUUCCUUGUCUGGAAAUAUGCGAUGUGUUGAUAUAUUUGCUGCGAUGUUCUGCCGGGUCAGAUAACAGAUUAAAGAAUUACAGACAAGACAACGGCUAUAAACUGUGCAAAGAUGGACACAUUAGUAAUGUGCAGAUGUAUAACAUUCCAAACUCAGAUUAUAAUUACGUUUCGGCCACAUGUGUUAGGGAAACAACUUUAAGCGAGAAACCGUAUAUUACAUGGAUAUUACAGAAAAAGGAUGGCCAAGUAAUGUCUGCUGGAUGUGCAUGUGUUGCGUAUGAUGGAACGUGUAAACACUGCACAGCUUUACUGUUUUCCUUGGCUGAUUUUUGCACCCCAUAUGGACAGGAACACACAAGUAGGAACAGAUCGCCCGUGCAUAUGGGACAUACCUAGAAAAGUGUCAGUUCCCACAAAAAUUGAUGACCUUGAUGUUAGAUACAAUAAAAAUAAUCUGUGCAUUGCACCUACUUCUGCAGCUUUCCACUCUUCUAAAGUUCAUGAACAAUCCUUGCGAGAUGUAGAUUGUCAUUUGUAUAGAUUGUGUAAAGGAUCGGAUUCUUUACUGCUUCAUGAUCUCGAACCUCCCUCAGAUGACAGUGAUGAAGAAAUAAAGGAUGAGCACCCACCAAGUAUGACAAACUAUAUGAGUGAAUUUAUAAGAGAGAAAGUUAAUACAGAUUUUCUUACCUUUUUGAAAAGCAAAUGCGAUAUAAAUUUAAUUAGUAAAAUUGAAAUAUUAACAAAAGGUCAAGGAAAUUGUACUGAGUGGUUCAAAUAUCGUGAAGGCAGAAUCACUGCCUUUCUUGCAUUUUCUGUGUGUCACUUUAGAGAUUCAAACAAAGAAGAUAAUUACAAUGUAAAAAAAAAUCAUGAACUCCAGCUCUGUGACCCUUUCAACUCCUGCAAUUAAAUAUGGAAAAGAGCAUGAAGCAAUUGCUCGACUUUUAUACCAGGAAAAUUAUAAAAAAAGAGCACAUAAAAGCCCAUAUUGUUGAAAGUGGAUUAUAUGUGUCCAUACAUGGGUGCCUCGCCAGAUGGACUUGUGCAAUGCAAAUGCUGCGGGAAUGGACUUCUAGUGAUUAAGUGCACAUAUACACACAAAGACUUAUCUCCAGAUGAAGUUGCUACAAGGGACAAACAUUAUUUCGUUUAUAUGGAUGACAACAACAAUGUUAAGUUGAAAACUAACACAUCUUGGUAUUACCAAAUUCAGACCCAGCUUGGUGUGUGUGACAGAAAAUGGUGUGACUUUGUCUUUUACACACAGAAAGGAAUUUCUGUCGACAAAAUUUCUUUUGACAAUACCUUAUUUGAAAUGAUUGCAUCAAAAUCAAAUUUCUUCUUCAACAAAUAUGUAAUUCCUGCUCUUAAAAAAAGUACAAAUGAAAUAUUCAAACACAAUAACUUGU
rnacentral:sRNA from 1 species